CCCUGGAGGAAAUACUAAAAUUAACUUUGCUCCUUCAACAGGUUUUUCAGAUGAACUUCCUGGGAAGUAUCCAGCAUAAAGGCGGGACAAAUGAUGUAUCUGCCAAAGUGACUCAGCUCGGGUCUCUUUUCCUGCAUCCCUAUACUUCUACUCAUCUCUCUGUUACUGCUGUUCCCUGGAAGAGCAUUAAGGGGUGCUCCUCAAGAUCACAAUGUUAAGUGAAAUAAACCAGACACACAGGAUUAAGUAUAGCAUAACUUCUCUCACAUGAGAAACCCAAAGUCUAAACAAAUUAAAGAGCAAGAGAAA